UACAAGGUCUCCGUAGGUGAACCUGCGGAGGGAUC
rnacentral:rRNA from 2 species